CUUCGACGCGUACGGGUUGUGAGAGCAAUAGCCCGGAGAUGGAUUCUGAGACAAGAAUCCAGGUCCUACGGGACGCAGCAGUCGCGAAACCUUGACAAUGCGGGAAACCGUGAUCAGGGGACUCCAAGUGCCAGGAGUAAGAUCCUGUGCUUUUCUUUUCUCUUCAAAGGAUUUGGAAUAAGAGGUGGGUAAGGACGGUGCCAGCCGCCGCGGUAAUACCGGCGCCUCGAGUGGUAGUCGAUUUUAUUGGGCCUAAAACGUCCGUCGCCGGUCUGGUGCAUUCGUGGGUAAAUCAACCCGCUCAACGGGUUGAAUUCUGCGAGCACGGCCAGACUAGGGACCGGGAGAGGUGUGGGGUACGCUCGGGGUAGGGGUAAAAUCCUGUCAUCCCGAGCGGACCACCUGUUGCGAAGGCUCCACACUAGAACGG
rnacentral:rRNA from 1 species